CCUACGGGUGGCAGCAGUGGGGAAUAUUGCACAAUGGGCGAAAGCCUGAUGCAGCAACGCCGCGUGAAGGAAGAAGGGUUUAGGCUCGUAAACUUCUAUUACCCGGGACUAAAGAAAUGACGGUACCUGAAUAAGAAGCCCCGGCUAACUACGUGCCAGCAGCCGCGGUAAUACGUAGGGGGCAAGCUGUAUCCGGAAUUACUGGGUGUAAAGGGUGAGUAGGCGGCAUGGUAAGCCAGAUGUGAAAGCCUUGGGCUUAACCCGAGGAGUGCAUUUGGAAGUAUCAAGAUAGAGUACAGGAGAGGAAAGCGGAAUUCCUAGGGGAGCGGUGAAAUGCGUAGAUAUUAGGAAGAACACCAGUGGCGAAGGCGGCUUUAUGGACUGAAACUGACGCUGAGGCACGAAAGCGUGGGGAGCGAACAGGAUUAGAUACCCGGGUAGUC
rnacentral:rRNA from 1 species